AAAGUCGUAACAAGGUUUCCGUAGGUGAACCUGCGGAAGGAUCAUUACAAAUCCAUCCACGUCUCUCUUCGAGACCACGUUGAAAUGUUCCCCGGACCAGGAGGGUCUCUCUUCCCUUUCGGGCCGCCCUGGUGCGCCUGCCUGGGAGAGCAGCCCCCCCCCUGGCCUGGGCUGUGAAACGAGUGUUACCUUGUUGCCCAAAUGUAUCUUGAUUUCAAUCAAACGAAAACUUGUACAACUUAUAACAAUGGAUCUCUAGGCUCUU
rnacentral:misc_RNA from 1 species